ensembl:lncRNA
GAGAACUUCUCGCGGUGGGGGCAGAGCUGCGGGUCCGGACCCGCGCAGCUGCGGUGCUGCAGGUUCGGCACGGCCCGGUUCGGCUCGGCCCGGCUCGGGGACGAAGAGCCUCUAAUUGCUGCCCCGGGCGCACGGCGCUUCUUUAACCCCAUCGAUAAAUCGUGGGCAUCGAUCGUGAGCGCUGCGUUCCUCCGCAGCCCCCUCACACCUCCUACCCCGAGCCGGGCGGGAUGGGGCUGAAUUGGGCUGGGAGGCCUCUCGGAGCAAUCUUUUCCUAAUAAAGAGUGUGAUCGAAGCGCUCCUUCCCCCCCCCCCGCUCCCCGCGAAGGGCCGCGGAAGGGGCCGUAAACGCAGAGCCGCUGCGGAUCGAUGGAGAGAAGCCCGGAUUGAUCGGCCUCUAAAAUUAAAUUUAUUGGGGUCAUGGUUUUAUAUGGUGCUGAUACAACUGUUAAAUGGGGAACAUUCAUUUCCAAUAGGAGGCGUUUAUUAAACUUCCACUGAAUUAGACCGCCGUGAUUUAUGUGGCAAUCUCGGCACAGCCCUCCAGGAGGGAAAGGGAGAGGCAGAGAGGGCCCUUCCGCGGCCGUCUCCGGGCGGUUAUUUAUUUAUCCCCACCCCCACCCCCCCGUGCCACGGCUCCAUAAGUUUUAACCGAAAUGAUCCGCCGGGCUCAGCCGGGAGCGGAACCGCCCGCGGGUCCCGUCGGGGCGCCCCGCACCGCCCCGCACCGCGCAGCCCCGGGGGUGGGGGGGUCGGGGGGGCCCCGCAAACGUCCCCGCUCCCGCGUGCGGCGAUCGUUGAGCGUUAAUUAGAAAUUCAUUACAAUUAAAAGCCGCGCGCACACGCCUUAAUUACAUCUGAUUUUUAAUUCCGAAUCCGUGUUUACACAGUAAGCGAGACGUACCUCCUGAUUAUCCCCAAUACUCUUUAUACUGUACUAAUUAUGUAAAUUAAACCUAAUUAACUGACAAAAACUGCAGUCAAUUCAACUGUUCGAAGAUAGCGGAGGCGGCGAGGAGCGGAGGAGCCGCGGCCGUUCCGCGCUGUCGGGGCGGUGCGGUGCGGUGCGGUGCGGUGCGGUGCUGCGGG